GAUGAAGAACGUAGCGAAAUGCGAUAAGUAGUGUGAAUUGCAGAAUUCAGUGAAUCAUCGAAUCUUUGAACGCACAUUGCGCCCUAUGGUAUUCCGUGGGGCAUGCCUGUUCGAGCGUCAUUUACCCCCUCAAGCUCCGCUUGGUGUUGGGCGUCUGUCCCGCUUCGCGCGCGGACUCGCCCCAAAGGUAUUGGCAGCGGUCGUGCCAGCUUCUCGCGCAGCACAUUGCGCUUCUCGAGGCACCGGUGGGCCCGCGUCCAUCAAGCUCACCCCCCCAGUUUGACCUCGGAUCAGGUAGGGAUACCCGCUGAACUUAAGCAUAUCAAUAAGCGGAGGA
rnacentral:misc_RNA from 1 species